UACGGAGGAUCCAAGCGUUAUCCGGAUUUAUUGGGUUUAAAGGGUGCGUAGGCGGCCUAUUAAGUCAGGGGUGAAAGACGGUAGCUCAACUAUCGCAGUGCCUUUGAUACUGAUAGGCUUGAAUACACUUGAAGUAGGCGGAAUGUGACAAGUGGCGGUGAAAUGCAUAGAUAUUGGGAAGAACACCGAUUGCGAAGGCAGCUUACUAUGGUUUUAUUGACACUGAGGCACGAAAGCGUGGGGAUCAAACAGG
rnacentral:rRNA from 1 species